AGUGAACGCUGGCGGUAGGCCUAACACAUGCAAGUCGAACGGCAGCACAGUAAGAGCUUGCUCUUACGGGUGGCGAGUGGCGGACGGGUGAGGAAUACAUCGGACUCUACUUUUUCGUGGGGGAUCACGUAGGGAAACUUACGCUAAUACCGCAUACGACCUACGGGUGAAAGCAGGGGAUCUUCGGACCUUGCGCGAUUGAAUGAGCCGAUGUCGGAUUAGCUAGUUGGCGGGGUAAAGGCCCACCAAGGCGCCGAUCCGUAGCUGGUCUGAGAGGAUGAUCAGCCACACUGGAACUGAGACACGGUCCAGACUCCUACGGGAGGCAGCAGUGGGGAAUAUUGGACAAUGGGCGCAAGCCUGAUCCAGCCAUACCGCGUGGGUGAAGAAGGCCUUCGGGUUGUAAAGCCCUUUUGUUGGGAAAGAAAAGCAGCAGGUUAAUACCCCGCUGUUCUGACGGUACCCAAAGAAUAAGCACCGGCUAACUUCGUG
rnacentral:rRNA from 1 species